GACGAACCGUGCGAACGUUAUUCGGAAUCAUUGGGCUUAAAGGGCGCGUAGGCGGCGGCGUAAGUUGGAAGUGAAAUCCCAUCGGACUCAACCGUGGAAUCGACUCCCAGUACUGCGUCGCUCGAGGGGAUGAGGGGUCUGGCGGAACUACCGGUGGAGCAGGUGAAAUGUGAUUGAUAUACGGUGGGAACGGCCGAGUGGCGAAGCGGACAGACUUGACCCUUCCGUCGACGCUGAGGCGCGAAAGCUAGGGGAGCAA
rnacentral:rRNA from 1 species